AAGGCAAUAUGGAAAGAUAGGGACCAACUCCUUCAGGAUGAUUUUAUCUCCAAUAAUAUUGAACUGGGGAAAUGCAACAACAAUGCCUUCUCUGCUGGGUGUCUUACACUGAAGAAGCAGGGGCCUAGUUUUGGCUCUACCAGGCCAAAUCAUCAUCUGGGCUGGGGGACUGAAGGAGGACAGCACUGCCUCCCUAUGAACUGGCUGGGAACUGGUCUAAAGUGUGGACAUGGGUACUGGAAUGUGGGAGACAUCUUAUACAGAAAAGGCCUGCACAUACAAGCUGCGCAUACAAGCUUACAUUUCAGGAUGAAACAAAAGCUAAAAGUGCAAUUGAUGUGAAAUUUAUCAGAAUCACAGAAUUGAAAAAAGUGUCGGAAGGGACGUCUGGACUACUCCAACUCCCCUGCUAGAAGCGGGUUCUCUACAAUGGUUUACACAGGAAAGCUUCCAGGUAGGUUUUGACUGUCUCAAAUGAGAUAUGUCUAUGAGGUCUUUCCUCAUGUUCAGAUGAAACUUUCGUGUGCUCCAGUUUGUGCCCAUUUUUAAUUGUUCUGUCAUUGGGUACUGUUGAAAAGACCCUGGCUCCAUCCACUUGACUCCUGCCCAUUGUAAGCGUUUAUAAGAUUUCCUCCCCUUUCCAACCCCCAAGUCUUCCCUUCUCCCAAAUUUGUCAUUGGCAUGUAAAAAAGUUAACUGCAUAGUGAUGUGACCAUGUUUGUUGUUUCUAUUUAUUAUUAAUAAACCUGGUAGUCGACUAAUUUGGCA
rnacentral:lncRNA from 1 species